rnacentral:snRNA from 1 species
AAUGCUUUUCAGCCUUUUGGCUUAGAUCAAGCGUAGUAUCUGUUCUUUUGGGCACAAAAGGCACAAGAUGGGUUGAGUAGAUUAAAUAUAUUCUGAAGAUUUAGCCUCGAUUUUUAUCUCAAUCCAAUAAAGAGAUUCUGUCCCAA